rnacentral:rRNA from 1 species
UAGGGAAUCUUCCGCAAUGGACGAAAGUCUGACGGAGCAACGCCGCGUGAGUGAGGAAGGCCUUCGGGUCGUAAAGCUCUGUUGUGAGGGAAGAAGCGGUACCGUUCGAAUAGGGCGGUACCUUGACGGUACCUCACCAGAAAGCCACGGCUAACUACGUGCCAGCAGCCGCGGUAAUACGUAGGUGGCAAGCGUUGUCCGGAAUUAUUGGGCGUAAAGCGCGCGCAGGCGGCUUCUUAAGUCUGAUGUGAAAUCUCGGGGCUCAACCCCGAGCGGCCAUUGGAAACUGGGGAGCUUGAGUGCAGAAGAGGAGAGUGGAAUUCCACGUGUAGCGGUGAAAUGCGUAGAGAUGUGGAGGAACACCAGUGGCGAAGGCGACUCUCUGGUCUGUAACUGACGCUGAGGCGCGAAAGCGUGGGGAGCAAACA